rnacentral:rRNA from 1 species
CACGUAGGCACCAAGCGUUGUCCGGAUUUAUUGGGCGUAAAGAGCUCGUAGGCGGUUCAGUAAGUCGGGUGUGAAAACUCUGGGCUCAACCCAGAGAUGCCACCCGAUACUGCUGUGACUUGAGUACGGUAGGGGAGCAGGGAAUUCCUGGUGUAGCGGUGAAAUGCGCAGAUAUCAGGAGGAACACCGGUGGCGAAGGCGGAUCUCUGGGCCUUACCUGACGCUCAGGCGCGAAAGCUAGGGGAGCGAACAGG